UCCUACGGGGCGCAGCAGUGGGGAAUAUUGCGCAAUGGGCGAAAGCCUGACGCAGCGACGCCGCGUGAGGGAUGAAGGUCUUCGGGUCGUAAAGCUCUGUUGCGGGGGAAAAAAGGCAGCAUCAGGAAAUGGGUGCUGACUGAUGGUGCCCCGCCAGAAAGUCACGGCUAACUACGUGCCAGCAGCCGCGGUAAUACGUAGGUGGCGAGCGUUAUCCGGAAUGAUUGGGCGUAAAGGGUGCGCAGGCGGUCCUGCAAGUCUGGAGUGAAACGCAUGAGCUCAACUCAUGCAUGGCUUUGGAAACU
rnacentral:rRNA from 1 species